rnacentral:rRNA from 1 species
UACAGGGGGAGCAAGCGUUAUCCGGAAUGAUUGGGCGUAAAGCAUUCGUAGGUGGUAGGUGAAGUCUGCUGUCAAAUACCAGGGCUCAACCUUGGACAGGCAGUGGAGUACUCAUUUACUAGAGCGUGGUAGAGGUAGAGGGAAUUCCCCGUGGAGCGGUGAAAUGCGUAGAGAUGGGGAAGAACACCGGUGGCGAAAGCGCUCUACUGGGCCAAGGCUGACACUGAGGGAUGAAAGCUGGGGGAGCAAAUAGG